UCAGGCCUAACACAUGCAAGUCGUGCGAGAAAGUAUCUUCGGAUAUGAGUAGAGCGGCGGACGGGUGAGUAACGCGUAGGAAUCUACCUAGUAGAAGGGGAUAGCCCGAGGAAACUCGGAUUAAUACCGUAUACCUCCUUAGGGAGAAAGAGGGCCUCUCUUGAUGCUCUCGCUAUUAGAUGAGCCUGCGUAAGAUUAACUUGUUGGUGAGGUAAUGGCUCACCAAGGCUACGAUCUUUAGCUGGUCUGAGAGGACGAUCAGCCACAUUGGGACUGAGACACGGCCCAGACUCCUACGGGAGGCAGCAGUGGGGAAUAUUGGACAAUGGGCGCAAGCCUGAUCCAGCCAUACCGCGUGUGUGAAGAAGGCCUUCGGGUUGUAAAGCACUUUAAGCAGGGAGAAAAAGUUAUAAGUUAAUACCUUAUAACCGUGAUGUUACCUGCAGAAUAAGCACCGGCUAAUUCCGUGCCAGCAGCCGCGGUAAUACGGAAGGUGCAAGCGUUAAUCGGAAUUACUGGGCGUAAAGCGCGCGUAGGUGGUUUGUUAAGUUGGAUGUGAAAGCCCUGGGCUCAACCUAGGAACUGCAUCCAAAACUAACUCACUAGAGUACGAUAGAGGGAGGUAGAAUUCAUAGUGUAGCGGUGGAAUGCGUAGAUAUUAUGAAGAAUACCGGUGGCGAAGGCGGCCUCCUGGAUCUGU
rnacentral:rRNA from 1 species